AUGGAUGAACGUCAAAGUUUCGGACAGAGGCAUCCUGUGCUCGCGGCGGUGCUGCUCGGAUCCGUUGUGCUCGCUGCGACCCUCAUGACCGUCCUCGCCAUCACGCUCGAGUCCACCCCGCCCGAGUUCUCCGCGACCGUCUCCAGCUUCGAUGGCCUCGACCGGCGCGCCGGCGCGCCGCCCACCUUCCACGUCAACCUGCGCGUCAAGAACGGCAACGUGUGGCGGCACUGCUUCGAGCCGGCGGCCGCGGUGGUGGAGUACGACGGCGUGCCCCUCGCCAGCGCCGAUCUCGGCAAGCUCUGCGUCCCGGCACGGAACGUCCUGAACGUGCCCUUCGUGGCCAGCGGCGAGGGGCUGGGGAUGCCCGACCAGCUCUACGAGCGCCUCGACGGCCUCCGCCGGCGGCAGGAGCGCGUGCCGUUGGCGGUGCGGCUGACGCUGGAGGAGAAGGAUACCGUAAAGCAGGUACGGCCCUGGCUGCUGCGGUGCACGGCGAUGCUGGAUGGCCGGCCGGACCUGCCGUCUCGUUGUCUGCUCUUCUUCCUCGUGGAGCCGGGUAAUAGUUACUACAAGUAG
rnacentral:rRNA from 1 species